rnacentral:tRNA from 1 species
GGGUAGGUUCCAGAGCGGUCAAAUGGGGCAGACUGUAAAUCUGUUGGCUUAGCCUUCGCUGGUUCGAAUCCAGCCCUGCCCA